GAUGAACGCUAGCGAUAGGCUUAACACAUGCCAGUCGAGGGGCAGCAUGGUCUUAGCUUGCUAAGACUGACGGCGACCGGCGCACGGGUGCGUAACGCGUAUGCAACUUGCCUCACAGAGGGGGAUAACCCGUCGAAAGACGGACUAAUACCGCGUACACUCCAUCUUGGGCAUCCAAGGUAGAGGAAAUGAAAUUCGCUGUGAGAUAGGCAUGCGUCCCAUUAGCUAGUUGGUGAGGUAACGGCUCACCAAGGCGACGAUGGGUAGGGGAACUGAGAGGUUGAACCCCCACACUGGUACUGAGACACGGACCAGACUCCUACGGGAGGCAGCAGUGAGGAAUAUUGGUCAAUGGGCGAGAGCCUGAACCAGCCAAGUCGCGUGAAGGAUGACUGUCUUAUGGAUUGUAAACUUCUUUUAUACGGGAAUAACAAGAGUCACGUGUGACUCCCUGCAUGUACCGUAUGAAUAAGCAUCGGCUAACUCCGUG
rnacentral:rRNA from 1 species